AUCCUAGUUGUUUCAUGGUGCGGAAGCAAUGAUGAGCGCCGCAUUUAUGGGCCACCAGGCGUAAUGAAGAAUUUACCUGUUAAAAACGGACAAUUGAUUUACGUAUUAAUGCAUUGUUAAUGUUAAAGCAGAGAUACGAGUUUAGAAAAGAGCUUCUUAUUCUAUUUGUUACAAUCAUCAUAGCAGAGAAGUCGUCAGGAUGUCACAGAAGUGAAGCACAGAGUAAACCAGCGCACAGAGGACCUUUCAACGGCACUAUCACGUUUACAGUUGGCCCUGCAAUUAUCCCAAGACAGCAGUGAAACGGUCAGUAUACAUGCGCCAUUUGCUGAUCUUGAUGCGAUGAUCAGUUCUUUGUCUUCAGCAAUACAAGUAGAAAUCGACAAGUCCCAGGUGUCCGAAGACAAAGAAGCCAAGCAGAUUGUUGAUUGUGCAAUAAAAGCUCUGAUCACUGAACUUAAAAGAGAAAUGGCAGAUAUUCAGGAAUUGAGGUGAACUUGUCAAUCAGACAUUUAAGUUUAUUGAAAACUGUACUGAUGAUCCACGACAGAAUGCAAUAAUGUAUAGCUACUUUUGAAGGAUUAUUGUAAAAAAAAGUUAAAGUGAUUUUUAGCACGUUUUGUUUGGUUACUUCAUUGAAUAUAAUCAAUCAAUAAAUCGAUCAAUCAGUUAAUCGAUGAUUUCUUUGAAACCACGGUGCAGGGAUGCGCUUACAUGCCUUU